GGGAGAGAAAGAAGUGUGAUAGUUGUGGUGAUGGUGGUGGUUGUGGUGGUGGUGUGGGAGGGGGGUAGCACUUCACAUUCUUGCCUUAGCCUUUAUCUCUUCUGUUUUGAAAACCUCCUUCAGCAGCAGUGUGUUUAUUUGUGAAUGCGUUUUAGGGCCAGGAAAAGAUACAGCAAGAAGAAGAAGAGAACUGAAAGGGCUGAAAGCUACAGAGGUUACAGGAAACCUGGAGCCUAUCCCAGAGAGCAUCGGGCACAAGGCGGGGUACACCCUGGACAGGGUGCCAAUCCAUCACAGAGCACAAUCACAUACACAUCCAUUCAUACACUAC
ensembl:lncRNA